AAGGGAGCGGGACAGAAUUCUUUUGAAUUCGUCGUCCGACUCCCAACUUGCUUUGCUUGUAAAAUCACUUUCGUGAUUUUUUGUGUUGGGGCCCCGACUCCCAGCUUGCUUUGCUUGUAGAAUUUCUUAGCGAAAUUCUCUUUGUUGGGGCCCCGCCCACCUCCGCAAGGAUGACUAGAACUGAGAAAAGCUUGAUUUAAGCGUCUUCUCAGUUCAGUCAGCUACUGCGAAUUUGCUAAGUA
rnacentral:ncRNA from 1 species